GACGAGCGCUGGCGGCGCGCCUAACACAUGCAAGUCGAACGGAGCUUAGAGAGCUUGCUUUUUAAGCUUAGUGGCGAACGGGUGAGUAACGCGUGAGUAACCUGCCCUAGAGUGGGGGACAACAGUUGGAAACGACUGCUAAUACCGCAUAAGCCCACGGUACCGCAUGGUACUGAGGGAAAAGGAUUUAUUCGCUUUAGGAUGGACUCGCGUCCAAUUAGCUAGUUGGUGAGGUAACGGCCCACCAAGGCGACGAUUGGUAGCCGGACUGAGAGGUUGAACGGCCACAUUGGGACUGAGACACGGCCCAGACUCCUACGGGAGGCAGCAGUGGGGGAUAUUUCACAAUGGGGGAAACCCUGAUGCAGCGACGCCGCGUGGAGGAAGAAGGUUUUCGGAUUGUAAACUCCUGUCGUUAGGGACGAUAAUGACGGUACCUAACAAGAAAGCACCGGCUAACUACGUGCCAGCAGCCGCCGUAA
rnacentral:rRNA from 1 species